rnacentral:tRNA from 1 species
AAGAUGGUGGCCCGGCAGGUAAGGGUGAUGGUCCUAUAAUGGGCGAUUUGUGUGGGUUCGAGCCCCACCCAUCUUU